CUAAUAAUAUAUUUAUUUAUGUCUGUCUAAGCGCUGUCACAAGUAUCUCUGCCCUUGCUGGUUUUGCCAGAGCAGUGUCAUCAGUGUCAUCAGUGGCUAUUAUUUUUUUUCGAAUCGAGGUGUGAUUUUAUUUCCUUGGUUGGCUAAAGUAAACAUGACAGCUCUAUUCAAUAAGAAAGAUGGGUAUGCGUAGUUGUAUGAAUAACUAUAUCUAUUUUUUUGCUUUUACAUGGAUGUUAUAUAGAUAAUCUUUAUCUUUUAUAUAGAAAGGAUAACAUUUCAACAAUGUUGGUGAGAAAGAAGUAAAAGGCAGGCCAGAUAUAUGUUUUAUCAAGUUUUGAUUGAUCAACGAGAUUGUCCUUUUAUAGCAAUCAUGAGAGCAGUCGCAGUUUGUACGCUAUUCCAGGAUUAGAUUAUUGCUCAUGAAGAUGUAUUGUUGCCAUAUACUACAAAUGAGAAAGCAGCAUUGCAACACGAAUUGUUCGAUAAAUUUUUGACCUAUCAUCCAGACAAGGAAUCAUGUUUUGUAACAUAAGAGAUCUUCCGAGCAUGGCAGAAAUAUAUAUAUAAUAUAUAUAUUACCAUUUACAUGGUACCAUUUACAUGGAUUUUCAAUAUAGUAGUCAUGGGAACAUUUAGGAUGGAAAGAGAAGACGGAUAUUCAUUUGAUUUUGUAGAAUACCACAUUUUUCUUUGGAAUCGAAGGA